rnacentral:rRNA from 1 species
GGGGGAAAAAUUAAUUAAUUAAUAAAUAAAAAAAAAAUUUUUAAAAAAAAAAUAUUUAGGGGGGUUUAAGUAUUUUUAAAAAAAAAAUUUUUAAUUUUAUAGUUUAAAGUAAAGUAAUAGAAAUUUGAAAUAUAAUAAAAAAAAAUUAAUUAAAAGUAAUUUUAAUUUAAUGUAUCUUGUGUAUCAGAGUUUAUUAAAAAAGUUUUUUAAGAAAAAAAUUCUCGAAUUAAAAAGAGUUAAUUAAUUAAUAAAUUUAUUGUAGAAUAAAUAUUUUUAAUAAUUAAUUAGAAAUGAAAGGUUAUUCGUUUUUUAAUAUAUCUAGUUUUUUUAGAAAAAAAUUUAAUUUUAAAUUAAUUUAUAAAGUAAUUAAUUAAUUAAUUAUUUUAAUAUAAAUUAAUUAAAUAUUUUAGGGGAUAAGCUUUAAAUUAAAAUUUUAUAAAUAAAAUUAAUUAAAUUAAAAUUUUUAUAAUUUAUAUUGUUAAUAAAUUUUAAUUUAUUAUAAAUAAUUUUAAUAAAAGAAAAAUUUAAUUUAUUUUAAUUUUUUAUAAAAAUAUAAUUUUUAAUUAAUAAAAAUUAGAAAAAAUGAUAAAAUUAGUAUAUAAUUAAAUAUAAUAAAGUUAAUUUUAUUAAAAAUAAGUAAAAAGAAUUCGGCAAAAUUUAUAUUCACCUGUUUAUCAAAAACAUGUCUUUUUGUUAAUAAUUUAAAGUCUAAUCUGCCCACUGAUUAAAUAUUAAAGGGCUGCAGUAUAUUGACUGUACAAAGGUAGCAUAAUCAAUAGUCUCUUAAUUAGUGACUUGUAUGAAUGAUUGGAUGAAAUAUAAACUGUUUCUAAUUUAAUAAUUGAAUUUAAUUUUUUAGUAAAAAAGCUAAAAUAAGUUUAAAAGACGAGAAGACCCUAUAGAGUUUUAUAAAUUUUUUUUUAUUUGUAAAUAUAUAUAUAUAUAUAUAAGUUUAAUGUAAAAUUAAUUAAAGUUUAUUUUAUUGGGGUGAUAAAAAAAUUAAUUAAACUUUUUUUUUAAAAAAAAUUACAUUAAUAAGUGAAUUUUUUGAUCCAUAAUUUAUGAUUAAAAGAAAAAAUUACCUUAGGGAUAACAGCGUAAUUUUUUCUUUUAGUUCAAAUAAAAUAAAAAGUUUGCGACCUCGAUGUUGGAUUAAGAUAAAAUUUAAAUGCAAAAGUUUAAAAUUUUGAUCUGUUCGAUCAUUAAAAUCUUACAUGAUCUGAGUUCAAACCGGUGUAAGCCAGGUUGGUUUCUAUCUUUAAAUAAAUAAAAUAUUUUAGUACGAAAGGAUCAAUUAUUUGAAAUAAUUUUAUUUUAUAUUAAGAAUAUUAUUAAUUUUUAUAUAAAAAUUUAUAAAUAAAUUAAUUU